GACAGAGGGUGCAAACGUUGCUCGGAAUCACUGGGCGUAAAGGGCGUGUAGGCGGGAAGGAAAGUCAGAUGUGAAAUCCCUGGGCUCAACCCAGGAACUGCAUUUGAAACUCCCUUUCUUGAGUGUCGGAGAGGAAAGCGGAAUUCCUGGUGUAGAGGUGAAAUUCGUAGAUAUCAGGAGGAACACCGGUGGCGAAGGCGGCUUUCUGGACGACAACUGACGCUGAGACGCGAAAAGCGUGGGGGAGCAAACAGG
rnacentral:rRNA from 1 species